rnacentral:rRNA from 1 species
CAGCAGCCACGGUAACACGGAGGGUGCAAGCGUUACUCGGAAUUACUGGGCGUAAAGCGUGCGUAGGUGGUGGUUUAAGUCCGUUGUGAAAGCCCUGGGCUCAACCUGGGAAUUGCAGUGGAUACUGGGUCACUAGAGUGUGGUAGAGGAUAGUGGAAUUUCCGGUGUAGCAGUGAAAUGCGUAGAGAUUGGAAGGAACAUCUGUGGCGAAGGCGACUAUCUGGGCCAACACUGACACUGAGGCACGAAAGCGUGGGGAGCAAACAGGAUUAGAUACCCGUGUAGUCCCUGUCUCUUAUAC